ensembl:lncRNA
GGAGAUCAAGGAGAACCGGGUAUUGUUGUAAACGCUGGUGAGACUUUGGUUUCAACGCGAGCAGAAAGUGAGUCAGAAAGUGAGAUCUAAUUUGAACAUUAGUGACUUACAGAAAUGCAUUAAUAUGACACUUGUACAUCUGACAUUUUUAGGACAGCAUGGUGCUGCACAUGUUGGUGUUACUGGACCACCUGGACCUCCUGGUCCCCCAGGGCCCCCUGGACGUCCAGGCGAUUCUAGACCAGGUCCACCAGGACCACCUGGUGAACCGGGUGCACAAGGAUAUGGAAGACCUGGUCCUAAAGGAGAGAAGGGAGAACCAGGAAACUUUGUGCCUAAUUCAGGUUUGAUUACAGCAUAAACUGUAUCUAGUAUUAUACAUUGUUCUAAGGGUGUUGUGGUUUUUUAAGUCUCACAAUUUUACAAAUGCUGCUUGCACAGGAACAUUUUUUGCGGGACCACCUGGGCCACCAGGACCCCCAGGGCCUAAGGGAGUGACAGGUUAGUCUUACCCAGAACUGGUGUUUAGUUGAUUCUACUUGUUGGUACCUUUAUUCCAACCUAUCACCAGUGAAGGCACUAUGAAAAUGUGAUAUCAGAAAGUAGAAUAUUUAACUAUUAUCAGAUAUCUAAUGAUACAUUUAUGUAAAUUUCAGGUGCCCAA